rnacentral:rRNA from 1 species
UGAGGAAUAUUGGGCAAUGCCCGCAAGGGUGACCCAGCAACGCCGCGUGGAGGAUGAAUGUCGUAAGAUUGUAAACUCCUGUUAGAGGGGAAGAAUAGUACCGGUUGGACCGGUAUAUGACUGUACCCUCAGAGAAAGCCCCGGCUAACUACGUGCCAGCAGCCGCGGUAAUACGUAGGGGGCAAGCGUUGUCCGGAUUUACUGGGUGUAAAGGGCGCGCAGGCGGGAUAAAAAGUCAGUGGUGAAAUCCUACAGCUUAACUGUAGAACUGCCUUUGAUACUUUUAUUCUUUAGUUCGGGAGAGAGAGACGGAAUUCCAGGUGUAGUGGUGAAAUACGUAGAUAUCUGGAAGAACACCAGUUGCGAAGGCGGUCUCUUGGUCCGACACUGACGCUGAGGCGCGAAAGCGUGGGGAGCAAACA